AAGUCGUAACAAGGUAUCCGUAGGUGAACCUGCGGAUGGAUCAUUAUCACGUUAUCCACGUAUCAACCAUUGUGAACUAGUACCUUUACCUUUGUUUUGAGAUGGAAUUGUAUGAAGGAAACUUUAUACGUUCUGUUUUAAAAACAAUUGUAUUUCAAUUCAUUUAUUAACUAUUUAAACAAUAUUUAAAUAAUUAACUAUUGAACUGAAACAUUCUUUACUCUCUUCGGGGAGAAAGAAUAAAAAUUACGAAACAUAAGAACAACUCUUAGCAACGGAUAUCUUGGUUCUC
rnacentral:misc_RNA from 1 species